rnacentral:rRNA from 1 species
CGGAGGGUGCAAGCGUUAUCCGGAUUUACUGGGUUUAAAGGGUGUGUAGGCGGACUUUUAAGUCCGUGGUGAAAUCUCCGGGCUCAACCCGGAAACUGCCAUGGAUACUAUUGGUCUUGAAUAUUGUUGAGGUGGGCGGAACGGGUCAUGUAGCGGUGAAAUGCAUAGAUAUGACCCGGAACACCGAUUGCGAAGGCAGCCCACUAAGCAAUGAUUGACGCUGAGGCACGAAAGCGUGGGGAUCAAACAGGAUUAGAUGCCCUGGUAGUCCACGCCCUAAACGAUGAUUACUCGACGUUGGCGAUACACUGAUCAGCGUCCAAGCGAAAGCAUUAAGUAAUCCACCUGGGAAGUACGUUCGCAAGAAUG